rnacentral:sRNA from 1 species
GCGCAGCCCGGCUUGAGCGGAAAUCCUUUUUUGCUUUGACUUCUGGUUCUAUUGAUUAAAAAAAUGUCGAGCAAAAAAGAUUGGGAGCGGAAGACGGAUUAAGC